UACGAAGGGGGCUAGCGUUGCUCGGAAUCACUGGGCGUAAAGGGUGCGUAGGCGGGUCUUUAAGUCAGGGGUGAAAUCCUGGAGCUCAACUCCAGAACUGCCUUUGAUACUGGCGAUCUCGAGUCCGGGAGAGGUGAGUGGAACUGCGAGUGUAGAGGUGAAAUUCGUAGAUAUUCGCAAGAACACCAGUGGCGAAGGCGGCUCACUGGCCCGGUACUGACGCUGAGGUGCGAAAGCGUGGGGAGCAAACAGG
rnacentral:rRNA from 1 species